UUGGUCUUCAAUUACGCAUUUGAUUUACAGUAGUGUCUAUUAUCAAUAAAGCAUUGAUUAUAAUCAUAAUAGCAUGCUAUUAAAUGAAUAGUUUAGUGUGAUAUCAUAAUAUUUUCUUUCAUAUUUUGUAAACAAUGAUACGGUUAUAUUUUAUAAAAGUAUAAAUGUGUGUACAUAAUAAAACUGUUGAAAAUCCCGGAUAAUCAUAUAAAAAAUAUCGGCGUGUUCAAAUAUUAUUAAUAAAUAUAAAUUUUAAUUAUUAAUUAGCUUUAUUUUUUAUUUACCCGUUAAAGCGUUUUGAAGUCCACUAUACAGCUAAAUUUUAUUAUUAUUAUUAUUAUUAUUUUUAAAGUCUGAUAUACUGCUAUAAUUGGUGUGCGGUUGUUUUAAGUGAACAUAUUGAAGUAAAUGCAUGUAAAGUAAUUUAAUUUAUAUCUGUACGCAGAUUUAUAACGAAAAACGAUUGUGAGCACAGUUAAGAGUAUAUUGAUCCUGAUGAUUUGUUCUUUCUGUAAACAAUUUUUCUAUCAGACAUCGCUUGCUCCAACAAAAAAAAAAAACUCUCUAUCAUUUUUUCCCAAUUAUUGAGAAAAACGGAUAAAAACGGCAAUACAUUUUUUUUUUUUGUUUAAGAUUUUUAAAUUCUAAUUUCGACGAAAAUUUUAAAUAUUACGCCUUUUAAAACAUGUAACGGAACUUCGUUCUGAAUCGUUUUUUCGUUAGCAAUAGUUUAUCAUUGGUUACAGGUAUAAAUUAAAUGACUUUAUGCAUCGCACCUUCCUAACUAUACCCACCUACAAUAGUGGCCACACCCGUCUCAGUAUCAGAUCUUUUUUUAAAUAUUUAUUGUAUUUUUCAUUUUAAUUAAGAAAAACUGGAGAAAAACAUUAGAAAAAAGGGAAAUUGUAUGGCAAUAAUAACGGCUUCAUUAUUUAUAAUUAAAUGUAAAGUACUAAGUACUUUUUAAAAGCUUUUAGAUUAAAUUUUGACAAAUUUAAAUCGCAGUAUAUUUUAAAAUAUGUGCAUUUAACUUAAUUUCGCUUAUAAUUGAUUUACGUUAAUAACAGAGGCGUCAUUUGAGAUUAAGACUAUAAUUUUGUAGCUCUACUUUUUGUUAAUGUGUUUUGGCCCGAAAAAGAUGAUAUAUAAUUGAUAAAAUGGAAAAUACAAUCACUGCCAAUACCCAUCACUUCCAGGAUUUGGCUAUUUGAAAUUUGAUAGUGUCACAUGGACGAUUAUUACCGCGGUUAAUUAUUGUUACUAUUAUAGCUUUAAGGAUAUAACUAUCGUAGUAUCAAUGUGAUUUAUAAUGUUAACAAAUUUACAAUGAAUAAAUGUAGCAUAUUAAAAUUUAGUUUCUUAAUUUAUUUUAACAGAAAUAUUUCUCUAUUCACUAUAUUGUAUUUGAAUAUUAAAAUGUAAAAUAGAAAUACGAG